rnacentral:rRNA from 1 species
GACGUGAGGGGGCCAGCGUUGUUCGGAAUUACUGGGUGUAAAGGGUUCGUAGGCGGUGCGGCAAGUUGGGAGUGAAAUCUCUGGGCUUAACCCAGAGGCUGCUUCCAAAACUGCUGUGCUUGAGUGUGGGAGAGGCGCGUGGAAUUGCAGGUGUAGCGGUGAAAUGCGUAGAUAUCGGGAGGAACACCUGUGGCGAAAGCGGCUCACUGGACCACAACUGACGCUGAGGCGCGAAAGCUAGGGGAGCAAACAGG